AUUGAACGCUGGCGGCAGGCCUAACACAUGCAAGUCGAGCGGGGUUUUCGGACCUAGCGGCGGACGGGUGAGUAAUGCGUAGGAAGCUGCCCGAUAGAGGGGGAUACCUGUUGGAAACGACUGUUAAUACCGCAUAAUGUCUACGGACCAAAGUGUGGGACCUUCGGGCCACAUGCUAUCGGAUGCGCCUACGUGGGAUU
rnacentral:rRNA from 1 species